rnacentral:rRNA from 1 species
AACGAACGCUGGCGGCAUGCCUAACACAUGCAAGUCGAACGGCAGCACGGUCUAGCUUGCUAGACUGGUGGCGAGUGGCGCACGGGUGAGUAAUGCGUAGGAAUAUGCCUUGAAGUGGGGGAUAACUUGGGGAAACUCAAGCUAAUACCGCAUAAUCUCUAAGGAGGAAAGCUGGGGACCUUCGGGCCUGGCGCUUUAAGAUUAGCCUACGUCCGAUUAGCUAGUUGGUAGGGUAAAGGCCUACCAAGGCGACGAUCGGUAGCUGGUCUGAGAGGAUGAUCAGCCACACUGGGACUGAGACAAGGCCCAGACUCCUACGGGAGGCAGCAGUGGGGAAUAUUGGACAAUGGGGGCAACCCUGAUCCAGCGAUGCCGCGUGUGUGAAGAAGGCCUACGGGUUGUAAAGCACUUUCGGUGGGGAGGAGGAUUCAUAGGUUAAGAGCUAAUGGAUUGGACGUUACCCACAAAAGAAGCACCGGCUAACUCCGUGCCAGCAGCCGCGGUAAGAC